rnacentral:lncRNA from 1 species
CCAUUAACCUCACUCUUGAAAUCCAAAGAAAAAAUAAUAAGGAGAGGUAACUUAUUUCUUUUCGCUUUGAAUCAAUGGCCUCGUUACUGAUGUACAUGUCUUGCCCUCUUUAACAGUAACAAAUAAUACACAGAUAACAACAUACCAACUUAGUACUACAAGUCCCUCAUCUUAAUUGUUUUCUUCUCAUUUUUGAAAAGUCACAUUUUUGUACACCUUCACCUUAAAACUACACACAUACCAAAUCCUUUAAAAAAACUCAUCUCUAACAAACAACCAUACUUCAACAAACACAAAACCUUACUUUCUCACCAACUAAAGACAACUUCCUUUUUC